UAUUUGAAGACUGGCGGAUAAUGGAUUUUCUCGUGAUUGAGCGCAUACACGAUUUUCUUUAUUUAGAUACUAACUUUUUGAAUUCUGUUACACAUUGAGACUUUACUUUGGAGUAUGGCGAAUUUUUUGGUAAUGAAGUUUUUAACAAGGGGAAAAUAAUCCUUAAUCAAGGAUUUGUUGGUCGUCCAAUUUGUGAUAUACAAGUUUCGGCGAAGGAAUUGAACUUAAAAGUCAGAAGUUAUGAUCUGCAAUCACUCUGCAGUGCAGUAUUAAAGACGAAGGAACACGAAUGUAAAGAGAUCACGCCAGCGGAAACUCCAUCUCCUUUUUCAAUACAGCGGACAAAGUGCUAAAUCUAAUGCAUGUGACGUUAAAAGAAGCAAAAUACAUUAUGAUUAUAGUGAUGGAUCUCAAUAUAUUGCUCGCGCUUCAAAUCACUUGUUUAGCAGGACGCUAUUAGGCGGAAGAGCGGAGAGAAACGAAUAUCUGUUGUUACAUGCUUUUAAUUUGAAAGAUUACAUAACGCUGGAUACGAAAAUUGAAAAAAAGGGGCGAGGCGAUGAUAAAUCGGAGGAAGCUGUUACCGGAGGAGAUCUUUAAGAAGGAAGGUGUCUGUAAAUUGCUGUCUUGUAAAAGUUGAAGAGAACGAGAAAGUGAUCUGUAGCGCAAUUCGGA